ACUCCUACGGGAGGCAGCAGUAGGGAAUCUUCCACAAUGGACGAAAGUCUGAUGGAGCAACGCCGCGUGAGUGAAGAAGGGUUUCGGCUCGUAAAACUCUGUUGUUAAAGAAGAACAUAUCUGAGAGUAACUGUUCAGGUAUUGACGGUAUUUAACCAGAAAGCCACGGCUAACUACGUGCCAGCAGCCGCGGUAAUACGUAGGUGGCAAGCGUUGUCCGGAUUUAUUGGGGCGUAAAGCGAGCGCAGGCGGUUUUUAAGUCUGAUGUGAAAGCCUUCGGCUCAACCGAAGAAGUGCAUCGGAAACUGGGAAACUUGAGUGCAGAAGAGGACAGUGGAACUCCAUGUGUAGCGGUGAAAUGCGUAGAUAUAUGGAAGAACACCAGUGGCGAAGGCGGCUGUCUGGUCUGUAACUGACGCUGAGGCUCGAAAGUAUGGGUAGCAAGCAGGAUUAGAUACCCUGGUAGGAUAGCG
rnacentral:rRNA from 1 species